rnacentral:tRNA from 1 species
CGAGACGUAGUUCAGCGGCAAGAACGCCUGUCCCAUAAGCAGGUAGUCGGUGGUUCGAAUCCACCCGUCUCGACCA